GACAUCAUAAACACGAUCAACUUUGGUGUUUAUGACGUCGAUAUUCGACGUCAUAAACACGAUUAACUUUGGUGUUUAUGACGUCGAUAUUCGACGUCAUAAACCCAUUCAACUUUGGUGGGAAACUUUGGUUGGAAAAAGAUAAAUUUUUUUAUAAAAUUCGUCGAUAUUCGACGUCAUAAACACGACCGACUUUGGUGUUUAUGACGUCGAUAUUCGACGUCAUAAACAGCAUCAACUUUGGUGUUUAUGACGUC